GAUGAACGCUAGCGGCAGGCCUAAUACAUGCAAGUCGAGGGGUAGAAGAGGCUUGCUUCUUUGAGACCGGCGCACGGGUGCGCAACGCGUAUGCAACCUACCUUCAUCUGGGGGAUAGCCCGGAGAAAUCCGGAUUAAUACCGCAUAAAAUCACAGGAUGGCAUUAUCCAAUGAUCAAACAUUUAUGGGAUGGAGAUGGGCAUGCGUGUCAUUAGCUAGUUGGCGGGGUAACGGCCCACCAAGGCGACGAUGACUAGGGGAUCUGAGAGGAUGGCCCCCAACACUGGUACUGAGACACGGACCAGACUCCUACGGGAGGCAGCAGUAAGGAAUAUUGGUCAAUGGAGGCAACUCUGAACCAGCCAUGCCGCGUGCAGGAAGACUGCCCUAUGGGUUGUAAACUGCUUUUAUUCGGGAAUAAACCUUAUUACGUGUAAUAAGCUGAAUGUACCGAAGGAAUAAGGAUCGGCUAACUCCGUGCCAGCCGCCGCCGUAA
rnacentral:rRNA from 1 species